CCUACGGGAGGCAGCAGUGGGGAAUAUUGCACAAUGGGGGAAACCCUGAUGCAGCGACGCCGCGUGCGUGAAGACGUAUUUCGGUAUGUAAAGCUCUAUCCGCAGGGAAGAAAAUGACGGUACCUGAUUAAGAAGCCCCGGCUAUCUCCGUGCCAGCAGCCGCGGUCAUACGUAGGGGGCAAGCGUUAUCCGGAUUUACUGGGUGUAACGGGAGCGUAGACGGCAGCACAAGUCUGGAGUGAAAUGCCGGGGCUUAACCCCGGAACUGCUUGGGAAACUGUGCAGAUAGAGUGCAGGAGAGGUAAGUGGAAUUCCUAGUGUAGCGGUGAAAUGCGUAGAUAUUAGGAGGAACACCAGUGGCGAAGGCGGCUUACUGGACUGUAACUGACGUUGAGGCUCGAAAGCGUGGGGAGCAAACAGGAUUAGAUACCCUGGUAGUC
rnacentral:rRNA from 1 species